UGAUGGUGAUUUCCAAAGCUUCUAACGAUAUCAUUCUAUGAUUUUUGGAGACCCAAUAACUUUUGUGACACUUCAAAAUUGUACACCGCCUGAGCGAUGCCAAAUAAAGGAGCAAUGACCAUAAUACGAGCGGGGCUCAUGCCCACCAGGAAGAGCUUGAAGUCUUGUUUUUACAACGUCACAAGGUGUCACGAAAAAAGCACUGACCAUAGCUGAGAAAAGACCGCAGGCGCAGGAGUGGAUCGUGCUCGAUUUCUCACCAUUAGGUCCCAUCCCCUGCACGUUACGUAACUUAUGUUCAAAUCACGUGAUGCGAGUAAAAAACUUGAAUAAAUGCCAAGUAGAACUUACCAAGAAAUUGAGAUGCGAGUAUAAGGUGAAAUGUAAACACGAGAAUGGUAUAUCUCUAAAAUAUUUGUAGAAAUCUUAAGCUUAUGUGUGUGGUGUUUCUUUUAUAAUUUAAAAAUUUAGUAUCAUAUCCUGGCAAAGAUAUUACCUACGAUAAUUUUUUAAAUGUGCACAAAGAAACACAAUUAUUUCAUUGACUAAAUAUUUACUCUAAAGUAAUGAAUAACGGAUACCUUAACAAAGUGGCACCAAGUCCACGAUAAAUACCCACAACUCCUUUCGUCUUUAGUAAAUGUUUAGUUAUAGCCAAUGCAGAUGUACGUUUUGUUAUCACGUGACAUUGCUGUUCAUUUGCUCCAGUGUGAAGCUUUGCUGUCAUUAUUGGCGUGAUUGAUUUUGAGGCAACAGGAUUGUUUGCUGAAUAGUAAAAGUAUUCCGCUUUUGUGAAAAGCGACGCCGUUCGUAAAUGAAAAUACAUAAAACGCACGCGAAAAAAGGCGCUAAUCAUUAAACCCGCAAAUUGCAGUAUGCGUUCUGGUGUCAUUUUGGAGCAUGCGUACUACUGGUGUCAUAUUUCACUUAAUAUACAUUUUGCGUGAGGUGAUAGUAAUUGAGAAAAUAACAUUUCUUGAUCGGUAAAACAAUCUCCCAUGAACCGAGUGAAAAUAGUUGACGAUUAUUCAAUACGACCAAAAUAUUUGCAAUAUGUGGUACCUGUCUUUCCAGAUAUCUGCAUUUGAAUCUUUAACAUUUCCAUUGGCGUGGUCACUACAACCUGGGAAUAUUGACGUCAUGAUGAAAGCCAUAAUGAAAAGAACUUAUCGAUAAUUGAUGCAAUAACAUCAUAUUCUUGAUUUGCAUUCAUUCAAUGAUUGCCUAAGCUAAUGAAAAAGGGAAUAUUUAUGAUAUUAAAGUAUAGUAAGUUUACCUGACAAAGUCCAGCUAUUGCUCCAGCUAACAUCUCAAAGUGAAGAGAGAGGAUGCAAAUGAAUAAUCUAGGCCAAGUCUCGAACAGAACAGAGGUAAAAAUAACAGCUCAAAAUAACUUUUCCAAAUAUAAGGCAUGUAAGUUUUUGCUGAAAAUAACGAUGUUUUUCUAAACUGGAUUUCUAUAUUCAAAAAACGGAUAUGUACAACAAAAGUGAAACAAUUUUUUAACAUACUACGCACUUGUAACCAAAUAAAAUAAUAAAUAAAGUUAGACCAUUGA